GAUGAACGCUGGCGGCGUGCCUAAUACAUGCAAGUCGAGCGAACAGACGAGGAGCUUGCUCCUCUGACGUUAGCGGCGGACGGGUGAGUAACACGUGGAUAACCUACCUAUCAGACUGGGAUAACUUCGGGAAACCGGAGCUAAUACCGGAUAAUAUAUUGAACCGCAUGGUUCAAUAGUGAAAGACGGUUUUGCUGUCACUUAUAGAUGGGUCCGCGCUGGAUUAGCUAGUUGGUAAGGUAAAGGCUUACCAAGGCAACGAUGCAUAGCCGACCUGAGAGGAUGAUCAGCCACACUGGGAGUGAGACACGGCCGAGACUCCUACGGGAGGCAGCAGUGGGGAAUAUUGGACAAUGGGCGAAAGCAUGAUCCAGCAAUGCCGCGUGAGUGAUGAAGGCCUUAGGGUUGUAAAGCUCUUUUACCCGGGAUGAUAAUGACAGUACCGGGAGAAUAAGCUCCGGCUAACUCCGUG
rnacentral:rRNA from 1 species